rnacentral:rRNA from 1 species
CAGUCGCCACGGUAAUACAGAGGGUGCAAGCGUUAAUCGGAAUUACUGGGCGUAAAGCGCACGCAGGCGGUUUGUUAAGUCAGAUGUGAAAUCCCCGAGCUUAACUUGGGAACUGCAUUUGAAACUGGCAAGCUAGAGUCUUGUAGAGGGGGGUAGAAUUCCAGGUGUAGCGGUGAAAUGCGUAGAGAUCUGGAGGAAUACCGGUGGCGAAGGCGGCCCCCUGGACAAAGACUGACGCUCAGGUGCGAAAGCGUGGGGAGCAAACAGGAUUAGAUACCCCUGUAGUCCCUGUCUCUUAUAC